rnacentral:rRNA from 1 species
GACGGAGGAUGCAAGCGUUAUCCGGAAUGAUUGGGCGUAAAGCGUCCGCAGGUGGCAGUUCAAGUCUGCUGUCAAAGACCGGGGCUUAACUUCGGAAAGGCAGUGGAAACUGAACAGCUAGAGUAUGGUAGGGGCAGAGGGAAUUCCUGGUGUAGCGGUGAAAUGCGUAGAGAUCAGGAAGAACAUCGGUGGCGAAAGCGCUCUACUGGACCUCAUCUGACACUCAGGGACGAAAGCUAGGGGAGCGAAUGGG